rnacentral:rRNA from 1 species
AUUGAACGCUGGCGGCAGGCCUAACACAUGCAAGUCGGACGGUAGCACAGAGAGCUUGCUCUUGGGUGACGAGUGGCGGACGGGUGAGUAAUGUCUGAGGAUCUGCCCGAUAGAGGGGGAUAACCACUGGAAACGGUGGCUAAUACCGCAUAACGUCGCAAGACCAAAGAGGGGGACCUUCGGGCCUCUCACUAUUGGAUGAACCAAUAUGGGAAUAGCUAGUAGGCGGGGUAAUGGCCCACCUAGGCGACGAUCCCUAGCUGGUCUGAGAGGAUGACCAGCCACACUGGAACUGAGACACGGUCCAGACUCCUACGGGAGGCAGCAGUGGGGAAUAUUGCACAAUGGGCGCAAGCCUGAAGCAGCCAUACCACGUGUAUGAAGAAGGCCUUCGGGUUGUAAAGUACUUUCAGCGGGGAGGAAGGCGGUGCGGUUAAUAACCGUAACGAUUGACGUUACCCGCAGAAGAAGCACCGGCUAACUCCGUGCCAGCCGCCGCGGUAA